rnacentral:rRNA from 1 species
CAAUAGCGUAUAUUAAAGUUGUUGCGGUUAAAAAGCUCGUGGUUGGAUUUCGGCUGAGGACGACCGGUCCGCCCUCCGGUUGAGCAUCUGGUUCGGCCUUGGCAUCUUCUUGGUGAACGUAUCUGCACUUGACUUUGUGGUGCGGUACCCAGGACUUUUACUUUGAGGAAAUUCGAGUGUUUCAAGCAGGCAUACGCCUAUGGAAUAAUAAGAUAGGACCUCGGUUCUAUUUUAUUGGUUUCUAGAGCUGAGGCAAUGAUUAAUAGGGAUAGUUGGAGGCAUUCGUAUUUAAAUGUCAGGGGUGGAAUUCUUGGAUUUGUUAAAGACGGACUACUGCGAAAGCAUGUGCCAAGGAUGUUUUCAUAGAUCAAGAACGAAAGUUAGGGGAUCGAAGACGAUCAGAUACCG